UGAUGUUGUUUCAGCCUCCGUUGUAGAUUGUUGGGAAGCCUCGUCUGGUCCUUACGAUUACCCAGUAGCCUCAAUUUUUAGCUUCAGCAUUUAGGUCUCUGUUAGUUUUUUUUUGUGUGGUGUCACUGAUUGUUUUUGAAAUGGUUAUGUUCGGAACGUCUCUGUAAUUUGCGUCCGUUUCCCGGUCGGUUCUGUCUGAGAGUGACGGACUGUCCUCUGAAACGUCUCUUGUGAAUUUAUUCCUUCUUCCGCAGGGAAAGCGCUGAUAAUUCCUCCCGACUUAAUUUACCGCGAAAGGCAAUCUUGGUGUUGGCUCAACCUAUCGGCUUUUUUCUUUUAUUAUAGAGGCUGCGAAUCGCAUGGGCAGUUUUUACAUGUUUGCAGCUGCCCCCUACAGUUUUUGUCCAGACACACCGCUCAUAUUUUAUUGGGGAAGCAAAUAAUUUCUCAAAGCAAAGACGGUGAGCAAGAUCUCAUGCAUUGUACAUUUUACACAUAAGACAAAUAUUUAGUUUCAGCAGCGAAGGAACCGACAGAUCACAGGUACCAGUUUCCACAGUUUUUUUUUUUUCCCCCUGUCAUUUAAUCCAGCAAACUGGAUCCAUUGUGCCAACACUGCACUGGAAGAAGAAAUUCAGCCUGCUAGAGAAAUGAAUAGUGGAGAGAUCUGUGCAACUGAAGGGGGCCUUUUGAAUGGACUGGACACCACGAUUAUAUGCUGUUUUUCUGACAUCCCUACAGCCCUCCAAUCCCGAUUCAUGUGUCACGAUUGAUGAAUGGGUGCUUAUAACUCACUGACAAAAAGCUCCCGACUAGAGGGUUGGACUGGCACCUCGGCCCACCCCCUUACCCCCAGCCAGGCCCUCGGCUCUCCCCGGACAGGGCAAGGGCGCGAGUCCGCCGGCACCUGCCC